GACAUAGCUCAGUGGUAGAGCAUUUUCUUUGCACGCGGAAGGUCCCAAGUUCAUUGUUUGGCAUCUGCA